UGUUUCGGCAAGGGGGUCAUCCCGACUUACCAACCCGAUGCAAACUGCGAAUACCGGAGAAUGUUAUCACGGGAGACACACGGCGGGUGCUAACGUCCGUCGUGAAGAGGGAAACAACCCAGACCGCCAGCUAAGGUCCCAAAGUCAUGGUUAAGUGGGAAACGAUGUGGGAAGGCCCAGACAGCCAGGAUGUUGGCUUAGAAGCAGCCAUCAUUUAAAGAAAGCGUAAUAGCUCACUGGUCGAGUCGGCCUGCGCGGAAGAUGUAACGGGGCUAAACCAUGCACCGAAGCUGCGGCAGCGACGCUUAUGCGUUGUUGGGUAGGGGAGCGUUCUGUAAGCCUGUGAAGGUGUGCUGUGAGGCAUGCUGGAGGUAUCAGAAGUGCGAAUGCUGACAUAAGUAACGAUAAAGCGGGUGAAAAGCCCGCUCGCCGGAAGACCAAGGGUUCCUGUCCAACGUUAAUCGGGGCAGGGUGAGUCGACCCCUAAGGCGAGGCCGAAAGGCGUAGUCGAUGGGAAACAGGUUAAUAUUCCUGUACUUGGUGUUACUGCGAAGGGGGGACGGAGAAGGCUAUGUUGGCCGGGCGACGGUUGUCCCGGUUUAAGCGUGUAGGCUGGUUUUCCAGGCAAAUCCGGAAAAUCAAGGCUGAGGCGUGAUGACGAGGCACUACGGUGCUGAAGCAACAAAUGCCCUGCUUCCAGGAAAAGCCUCUAAGCAUCAGGUAACAUCAAAUCGUACCCCAAACCGACACAGGUGGUCAGGUAGAGAAUACCAAGGCGCUUGAGAGAACUCGGGUGAAGGAACUAGGCAAAAUGGUGCCGUAACUUCGGGAGAAGGCACGCUGAUAUGUAGGUGAAGUCCCUCGCGGAUGGAGCUGAAAUCAGUCGAAGAUACCAGCUGGCUGCAACUGUUUAUUAAAAACACAGCACUGUGCAAACACGAAAGUGGACGUAUACGGUGUGACGCCUGCCCGGUGCCGGAAGGUUAAUUGAUGGGGUCAGCGCAAGCGAAGCUCUUGAUCGAAGCCCCGGUAAACGGCGGCCGUAACUAUAACGGUCCUAAGGUAGCGAAAUUCCUUGUCGGGUAAGUUCCGACCUGCACGAAUGGCGUAAUGAUGGCCAGGCUGUCUCCACCCGAGACUCAGUGAAAUUGAACUCGCUGUGAAGAUGCAGUGUACCCGCGGCAAGACGGAAAGACCCCGUGAACCUUUACUAUAGCUUGACACUGAACAUUGAGCCUUGAUGUGUAGGAUAGGUGGGAGGCUUAGAAGUGUGGACGCCAGUCUGCAUGGAGCCGACCUUGAAAUACCACCCUUUAAUGUUUGAUGUUCUAACGUUGACCCGUAAUCCGGGUUGCGGACAGUGUCUGGUGGGUAGUUUGACUGGGGCGGUCUCCUCCUAAAGAGUAACGGAGGAGCACGAAGGUUGGCUAAUCCUGGUCGGACAUCAGGAGGUUAGUGCAAUGGCAUAAGCCAGCUUGACUGCGAGCGUGACGGCGCGAGCAGGUGCGAAAGCAGGUCAUAGUGAUCCGGUGGUUCUGAAUGGAAGGGCCAUCGCUCAACGGAUAAAAGGUACUCCGGGGAUAACAGGCUGAUACCGCCCAAGAGUUCAUAUCGACGGCGGUGUUUGGCACCUCGAUGUCGGCUCAUCACAUCCUGGGGCUGAAGUAGGUCCCAAGGGUAUGGCUGUUCGCCAUUUAAAGUGGUACGCGAGCUGGGUUUAGAACGUCGUGAGACAGUUCGGUCCCUAUCUGCCGUGGGCGCUGGAGAACUGAGGGGGGCUGCUCCUAGUACGAGAGGACCGGAGUGGACGCAUCACUGGUGUUCGGGUUGUCAUGCCAAUGGCACUGCCCGGUAGCUAAAUGCGGAAGAGAUAAGUGCUGAAAGCAUCUAAGCACGAAACUUGCCCCGAGAUGAGUUCUCCCUGACUCCUUGAGAGUCCUGAAGGAACGUUGAAGACGACGACGUUGAUAGGCCGGGUGUGUAAGCGCAGCGAUGCGUUGAGCUAACCGGUACUAAUGAACCGUGAGG
rnacentral:rRNA from 1 species